GUGCUUUCUUUGGCAGCACAUGAACUGAAAUGAGAAUAAGACAAGAGAAUAUUAGCAUGGCCCAGAGCAAGGAUGACAUGCAAAUUCAAGAAGCAUUCCAUGUUUUG